rnacentral:rRNA from 1 species
UACGGAAGGCAGCGGUGGGGAAUAUUGCACAAUGGGCGCAAGCCUGAUGCAGCCAUGCCGCGUGUAUGAAGAAGGCCUUCGGGUUGUAAAGUACUUUCAGUCGUGAGGAAGGUGUUAAGGUUAAUAACCUUAGCAAUUGACGUUAGCGACAGAAGAAGCACCGGCUAACUCCGUGCCAGCAGCCGCGGUAAUACGGAGGGUGCGAGCGUUAAUCGGAAUUACUGGGCGUAAAGGGCACGCAGGCGGUUAAUUAAGUUGGAUGUGAAAUCCCCGGGCUUAACCUGGGAAUGGCAUUCAAGACUGGUUAGCUAGAGUCUUGUAGAGGGGGGUAGAAUUCCAUGUGUAGCGGUGAAAUGCGUAGAGAUGUGGAGGAAUACCGGUGGCGAAGGCGGCCCCUGGACAAAGACUGACGCUCAUGUGCGAAAGCGUGGGGAGCAAACAGGGAUUAGAUA